UACGUAGGGGGCAAGCGUUGUCCGGAUUUACUGGGCGUAAAGAGCGUGUAGGCGGCCACGCAGGUCCGUUGUGAAAACUGGAGGCUCAACCUCCAGCUGUCGACGGAAACCGUGUGGCUAGAGUCCGGAAGAGGAGAGUGGAAUUCCUGGUGUGAGCGGUGAAAUGCGCAGAUAUCAGGAAGAACACCAGCGGCGAAGGCGGCGCUCUGGGCCGGAACUGACGCUGAGGAGCGAAAGCGUGGGUAGCAAACAGG
rnacentral:rRNA from 1 species